rnacentral:piRNA from 1 species
UAGAAAACUCUAGAUACAUAGGUCCAC